GAGGGUAUAGCCCAUAGGUAGAGUGUGUGCUUAGCAUGCACAAAGUCCUGGGUUCAAUCCCCAGUACCUCCG
rnacentral:tRNA from 1 species